UUUCCGUAGGUGAACCUGCGGAAGGAUCAUUACCGAGUUAGGGUUGCCUUCUAGGUGCCCGACCUCCCAACCCUUUGUCUAUGUUACCUCAGUUGCUUCGGUGGGCCGGACUCGACCAACCGGUCCUGACCGCCGGCCUGGAAACUUCCAGGUUGGAGAGCUGCCCGCCGAUGGCCCGAACCAAAACUCUUGUACCUAAACGUGUCGUCUGAACAGUACUUGAUAUUGAAUCAAAAACAAAACUUUCAACAACGGAUCUCUUGGUUCUGGCAUCGAUGAAGAACGCAGC
rnacentral:misc_RNA from 1 species